rnacentral:rRNA from 1 species
CGACGCGCAUGAAUGGAUUAAUGAGAUUCCCACUGUCCCUAAUUACUAUCUAGCGAAACCACAGCCAAGGGAACGGGCUUGGACAAAAUUAGCGGGAAAGAGACCCUGUUGAGCUUGACUUUAUUCAGAAUUUGUGAAAUGGUGCUCGAGGUAUAGAAUAGGUGGGAGUGUAACGAAAUUGAAAUACCACUACUUUUGACGUUGUUUUACUUAAUUAAAUAAAAACUAAAAGAUUAAUAAUCUUGAUUCUAGAAUUAACGAAUAUUACAUGUUGACUCCAUGUGGGUUAACCUCUGAUUUGGGAAGUUUGUUUAAGACAUUUUCUGGUGGGGAGUUUGGCUGGGGCGGCACAUCUGUUAAAAGAUAACACAGGUGUCCAAAGUAUAACUCAAUGAGAACGGAAAUCUCAUGUAGAAUAAAAGGGUAAAAGUUAUAUUGAUUUUGAUUUUCAGUAAGAAUACAAACCGUGAAAGCGUGGC